rnacentral:rRNA from 1 species
UACGGAGGGUGCAAGCGUUAUCCGGAUUCACUGGGUUUAAAGGGUGCGUAGGAGGGUAGGUAAGUCAGUGGUGAAAUCUUCGAGCUUAACUCGGAAACUGCCGUUGAUACUAUCUAUCUUGAAUACCGUGGAGGUGAGCGGAAUAUGUCAUGUAGCGGUGAAAUGCUUAGAUAUGACAUAGAACACCAAUUGCGAAGGCAACUCGCUACACGAAUAUUGACACUGAGGCACGAAAGCGUGGGGAUCAAACAGG